GCCCUCGUAGAUCAAUGGUAGAUCUCCUCCUUAUAAUACUCCUGAACAAAGUGUAUUAUGGGGUGAUGUGGGUUCGACUCCCACCGAGGACC